AUUGAACGCUGGCGGCAGGCCUAACACAUGCAAGUCGAACGAGUGGCGGACGGGUGAGUAAUGUCUGGGAAACUGCCCGAUGGCGGGGGAUAACUACUGGAAACGGUAGCUAAUACCGCAUACCAUCGGAUGUGCCCAGAUGGGAUUAGCUAGUAGGUGGGGUAACGGCUCACCUAGGCGUCGAUCCCUAGCUGGUCUGCGAGGAUGACCAGCCACAGUGGAACUGAGACACGGGCCAGACUCCUACGGGAGGCAGCAGUGGGGAAUAGUGCACAAUGGGGGCAAGCCUGAUGCAGCCAUGCCGCGUGUAUGAAGAAGGCCUUCGGGUUGUAAAGUACUUUCAGCGAGGAGGCGGUACUCGCAGAAGAAGCACCGGCUAACUCCGUGCCAGCCGCGGCGGUAAGUC
rnacentral:rRNA from 1 species